GUGGGGAAUCUUGCGCAAUGGGCGAAAGCCUGACGCAGCCAUGCCGCGUGAAUGAUGAAGGUCUUAGGAUUGUAAAAUUCUUUCACCGGGGACGAUAAUGACGGUACCCGGAGAAGAAGCUCCGGCUAACUUCGUGCCAGCAGCCGCGGUAAUACGAAGGGGGCUAGCGUUGCUCGGAAUUACUGGGCGUAAAGGGCGCGUAGGCGGACAGCUUAGUCAGAGGUGAAAGCCCAGGGCUCAACCUUGGAAUUGCCUUUGAUACUGGCUGUCUUGAGUUUGGGAGAGGUGAGUGGAACUCCGGGUGUAGAGGUGAAAUUCGUAGAUAUUCGGAAGAACACCAGUGGCGAAGGCGACUCACUGGCCCAAUACUGACGCUGAGGCGCGAAAGCGUGGGGAGCAAACAGGAUUAGAAACCCGGGUAGUCC
rnacentral:rRNA from 1 species